UUAAGUUAUUAAGGGCGCACGGUGGAUGCCUUGGCACUAGAAGCCGAUGAAGGACGUUACUAACGACGAUAUGCUUUGGGGAGCUGUAAGUAAGCUUUGAUCCAGAGAUUUCCGAAUGGGGAAACCCAGCAUGAGUUAUGUCAUGUUAUCGAUAUGUGAAUACAUAGCAUAUCAGAAGGCACACCCGGAGAACUGAAACAUCUUAGUACCCGGAGGAAGAGAAAGAAAAUUCGAUUCCCUUAGUAGCGGCGAGCGAAACGGGAAGAGCCCAAACCAACAAGCUUGCUUGUUGGGGUUGUAGGACACUCUAUACGGAGUUACAAAGGACGACAUUAGACGAAUCAUCUGGAAAGAUGAAUCAAAGAAGGUAAUAAUCCUGUAGUCGAAAAUGUUGUCUCUCUUGAGUGGAUCCUGAGUACGACGGAGCACGUGAAAUUCCGUCGGAAUCUGGGAGGACCAUCUCCUAAGGCUAAAUACUCUCUAGUGACCGAUAGUGAACCAGUACCGUGAGGGAAAGGUGAAAAGCACCCCGGAAGGGGAGUGAAAUAGAACCUGAAACCGUGUGCUUACAAGUAGUCAGAGCCCGUUAAUGGGUGAUGGCGUGCCUUUUGUAGAAUGAACCGGCGAGUUACGAUUUGAUGCAAGGUUAAGCAGUAAAUGUGGAGCCGUAACGAAAGCGAGUCUGAAUAGGGCGUUUAGUAUUUGGUCGUAGACCCGAAACCAGGUGAUCUACCCUUGGUCAGGUUGAAGUUCAGGUAACACUGAAUGGAGGACCGAACCGACUUACGUUGAAAAGUGAGCGGAUGAACUGAGGGUAGCGGAGAAAUUCCAAUCGAACCUGGAGAUAGCUGGUUCUCUCCGAAAUAGCUUUAGGGCUAGCCUCAAGUGAUGAUUAUUGGAGGUAGAGCACUGUUUGGACGAGGGGCCCCUCUCGGGUUACCGAAUUCAGACAAACUCCGAAUGCCAAUUAAUUUAACUUGGGAGUCAGAACAUGGGUGAUAAGGUCCGUGUUCGAAAGGGAAACAGCCCAGACCACCAGCUAAGGUCCCAAAAUAUAUGUUAAGUGGAAAAGGAUGUGGCGUUGCCCAGACAACUAGGAUGUUGGCUUAGAAGCAGCCAUCAUUUAAAGAGUGCGUAAUAGCUCACUAGUCGAGUGACACUGCGCCGAAAAUGUACCGGGGCUAAACAUAUUACCGAAGCUGUGGAUUGUCCUUUGGACAAUGGUAGGAGAGCGUUCUAAGGGCGUUGAAGCAUGAUCGUAAGGACAUGUGGAGCGCUUAGAAGUGAGAAUGCCGGUGUGAGUAGCGAAAGACGGGUGAGAAUCCCGUCCACCGAUUGACUAAGGUUUCCAGAGGAAGGCUCGUCCGCUCUGGGUUAGUCGGGUCCUAAGCUGAGGCCGACAGGCGUAGGCGAUGGAUAACAGGUUGAUAUUCCUGUACCACCUAUAAUCGUUUUAAUCGAUGGGGGGACGCAGUAGGAUAGGCGAAGCGUGCGAUUGGAUUGCACGUCUAAGCAGUAAGGCUGAGUAUUAGGCAAAUCCGGUACUCGUUAAGGCUGAGCUGUGAUGGGGAGAAGACAUUGUGUCUUCGAGUCGUUGAUUUCACACUGCCGAGAAAAGCCUCUAGAUAGAAAAUAGGUGCCCGUACCGCAAACCGACACAGGUAGUCAAGAUGAGAAUUCUAAGGUGAGCGAGCGAACUCUCGUUAAGGAACUCGGCAAAAUGACCCCGUAACUUCGGGAGAAGGGGUGCUCUUUAGGGUUAACGCCCAGAAGAGCCGCAGUGAAUAGGCCCAAGCGACUGUUUAUCAAAAACACAGGUCUCUGCUAAACCGUAAGGUGAUGUAUAGGGGCUGACGCCUGCCCGGUGCUGGAAGGUUAAGAGGAGUGGUUAGCUUCUGCGAAGCUACGAAUCGAAGCCCCAGUAAACGGCGGCCGUAACUAUAACGGUCCUAAGGUAGCGAAAUUCCUUGUCGGGUAAGUUCCGACCCGCACGAAAGGCGUAACGAUUUGGGCACUGUCUCAACGAGAGACUCGGUGAAAUCAUAGUACCUGUGAAGAUGCAGGUUACCCGCGACAGGACGGAAAGACCCCGUGGAGCUUUACUGUAGCCUGAUAUUGAAAUUCGGCACAGCUUGUACAGGAUAGGUAGGAGCCUUUGAAACGUGAGCGCUAGCUUACGUGGAGGCGCUGGUGGGAUACUACCCUAGCUGUGUUGGCUUUCUAACCCGCACCACUUAUCGUGGUGGGAGACAGUGUCAGGCGGGCAGUUUGACUGGGGCGGUCGCCUCCUAAAAGGUAACGGAGGCGCUCAAAGGUUCCCUCAGAAUGGUUGGAAAUCAUUCAUAGAGUGUAAAGGCAUAAGGGAGCUUGACUGCGAGACCUACAAGUCGAGCAGGGUCGAAAGACGGACUUAGUGAUCCGGUGGUUCCGCAUGGAAGGGCCAUCGCUCAACGGAUAAAAGCUACCCCGGGGAUAACAGGCUUAUCUCCCCCAAGAGUUCACAUCGACGGGGAGGUUUGGCACCUCGAUGUCGGCUCAUCGCAUCCUGGGGCUGUAGUCGGUCCCAAGGGUUGGGCUGUUCGCCCAUUAAAGCGGUACGCGAGCUGGGUUCAGAACGUCGUGAGACAGUUCGGUCCCUAUCCGUCGUGGGCGUAGGAAAUUUGAGAGGAGCUGUCCUUAGUACGAGAGGACCGGGAUGGACAUACCUCUGGUGUACCAGUUGUCGUGCCAACGGCAUAGCUGGGUAGCUAUGUGUGGACGGGAUAAGUGCUGAAAGCAUCUAAGCAUGAAGCCCCCCUCAAGAUGAGAUUUCCCAACUUCGGUUAUAAGAUCCCUCAAAGAUGAUGAGGUUAAUAGGUUCGAGGUGGAAGCAUGGUGACAUGUGGAGCUGACGAAUACUAAUCGAUCGAAGACUUAAUCAA
rnacentral:rRNA from 1 species